AGGUCAUGGAAUCAUAUGAGGUAGCAAUUAAUGGGAAGGUGUUUCCAGGUAUGGCAUUAUUUGAGUUUUGAACUGUUGUGUACAUUUUUUGUAGUUGGUCUCUGGAAAUUUGCAUUGACUAGAUAAUUUCUGCUUCAGUUUGUCAACCAGAAAUCAUGGAGUUAAUUAGGCAUAAUGUUGUGUUAAAUUUAAAUUAGGAUUUCUCAUUUUUAAUGGACAUUCAGUCCAUGGAUUUGAAUUGCCGCUGCAUUCUCUGGUAACAAAAAUAGACUUGUAAUGGUUAUAACUUAACAGUAACCGCCUAUCGCUGUGUAAUUUUUUUUUUUAAUUUGCAAAGUUCAUGAAAUGAA
rnacentral:misc_RNA from 1 species